GGAACAGGGAGGGCUCCCUAGCUAUAGGGCUAAAGAGAAUUCUGUGCUGGGGAGGGCACUGCUGCAGCUGGAAGAAAGGUCUCUCACACAAUGAAUGACAGGAGGCGGUAGAUGGAGGGACCUGUGGUGUCUGGUUGUGCAGCUCCUGCUGCACGGAUACUAUGGUUUUGCCCAACCUCAUUCUUAAACAUGGAGACAUCAGUGGCAAUGACCCCAGGACCCUGGCAGUCCAAGGAAAAAAGGGAACAGAUGUGUGGGCCGUGCACCUGGCUUGUGGCUAUGGCUGAUGAAGUUCAGUACUUCGGGAGCCACAAGCUGAGGGCUGUAUGCUGGUAGUUGUAUCUCCCAAUGCAGAGAAGCUGCUUCUGUCUUGUACUGCACCACAGGCAUGGUGCCUGCAAUGCAGGCUUAACCACAACAGAUUUUUUUUUCCUGUGGUCCAGAGGCUAAACCAGAGCUGCCAGUGGUUUUGCUGCAAAAAUGAUACUUGCCAGGCAGUAGAUUAGGCUGUGCUGCUGGGUUUGCACUCCUCCCUCCGCUUGUCAAGCUCUCUAGCUACAUUCUGCCGAGCUCCCACAAGCAUGGCCUGCUCCCCAUCCCUCAGCACCCUGGUCCUACCUCUGUAAUCACUGACUUUGUUUUAAAAAUUAGGUAUAAUCACGUUUAUCACCAAAUAAUGUGUGCACGUGACCAGUGAGGUCAAGACCAUAGUGAAGUUUCAAGAUAGUAAAAUUCUUGCUUUCAUGAACUUUCAGAACAUGCAGAAUUCAUUCAGAUUAUUGGAGGG
rnacentral:lncRNA from 1 species